UUCAGAAUCUAUAGAACAAACGCAUAAGUCUGAACUGAAUGAUGAUUGAACAAAAUUAUCAUGUAAUAGCUGUAACUUCUAAAGAGAUUUUUUCCCCUGUUCAACUUUUCAACCUGCAACAAAAUACAAAUGAUAAAUUGUAUUAGAGCAACAAGCAACAAUGUAAAUAAAUACAUUUUGGAAAUAGCAAAAAAAAAAAAACACAGUGCAACAGGGGACAUCAGUCAUUUCAGUGACAUUUAUUUAUGCUCACAACAGCAGAAAAAAAGUAUCCGGGCAUAACAAAAACGUGAAUAUUUGACAAAAAGUUUUGGGGGAAAAAAUACAGAAAAAAAAACAAACAAAGAUUUGUCAGCUAAAAUAUCAACAAGAAUUUUUGCAUAAAUGGAGAAAAGUAUAAAAAGUAAGUAAAUUCGAAAAAAGUCUUUUAAAUAAAAGUUGUAUCUAAAAAAAAAAUUAAAUAAGCAAAUAUUACAACUUAUCAAGUAUAAUGAUUUGGAGCAACAAUUCUUAUAAAUUGUUUCAAGAUGGUUUGUGUCAAUGUGUUAGCGCAAAAAAGGCAAUCUAUUGUUGAUAUGAUAAUAUUAAAGCCAAGAUUGUAGAGCUUAUAAAGCUCGAUCUAUAAAGAGUAAUUAUGUUGCACUCGAAAAUUUAUGAAACUAUAGUCUGUGCCAAUAAUAUACAUAGACCAGUAUCUAGUCGAGAAUAUAGAUAAAUCUAUAGUCGAGAUUAUAGAUCAGCCUAUAAACAAUACUCAGUCAAUAGUCGAGACUAUAGAUCAAUCUUUAAUCGAGUUUAUAAAUCAAACUUUAUGCGAUGAUAUAGAUCAGUUUAUAGUCGAUAGUAUAGAUCAGUCUAUAGUCGAUACUACAGAUCAAGACUACAUAAUAGUCUGUAGUCGAAACUAUAGAUCAUUAUAUAGUCGA